rnacentral:rRNA from 1 species
UACGUAGGGUGCGAGCGUUAAUCGGAAUUACUGGGCGUAAAUCGUGCGCAGGCGGUUUUGUAAGCCAGAUGUGAAAUCCCCGGGCUUAACCUGGGAAUGGCAUUUGGGACUGCAAGGCUCGAGUGCGGCAGAGGAGACUGGAAUUCCUGGUGUAGCAGUGAAAUGCGUAGAUAUCAGGAGGAAUACCGAUGGCGAAGGCAGGUCUCUGGGCUGACACUGACGCUCAUGCACGAAAGCGUGGGGAGCAAACAGG